rnacentral:lncRNA from 1 species
AUGCGAUCCUGCGGGCAAUAAAUCAGACACGACAAAUGACAUGCGGUUUGCCGGAGGUUCUCCAAACAAAACACUUUCCGUUUCCCCUCUCGCCGCGGCCCCGCCACGUCUCCCCGCAGCAGCGCGCACCGGACGCGGCGCUCCGCCCGCCCGCCCGCCCCGCGGACCCCGCGCGUCCCGCGGCCUCUCCCCGCCCUCGGGGCGACUCGCGGCCCCGCUCCGGCCCGGCCGCACCUGCGCGGGGCCGCCCCGCUCCCCGCCGCCCGCUGCCCGCCCGGCGGCGCCUACCUGCGGCGGGGGGACCGGCGGCGACCGGAGCGGGGCCGGCCCCGCUCCGCCGCCCCCGCCCGGCCCCGGCGGCGCUCACCCGGCGGCGCGGACCCGCUCAGUCGCUGCCCAUCCUCCGCCGCUGCGGCUGGCACGGCGCGCCGGCACCGACGGGCGCGGGUCUGGUGCGCGUGUUGUGGCGUGCGGGAGGGCGCGGAGCGGCGGGGAUCGCGUUUCUUUCUUCCUCUCUCUCUCCCUCCCUCUCUUCCUUCCUUCCCUUCUUCCCUCCCUCCCUCUCUCUCUCCCUCCCUCCCAGCGGAGAGGAGCACAGACUCCGGCAGUUGUUUCCACUCGCCCCGCUCGGGCCGCGCUGGCUCUGCCUCCAGGCAAAACACACGCACCAAAUUGGCUGCGGCUCCGCGCCGCCGCUGGCGGCCCCGGGGGGCGGCCGGGGCGGGGCGGGGCGGGGGCGGCUGCGGAGCGAACUUCGCGCGGGGCCGACGGCUGAGCGCGGCCGCGGAACAAUGAGCCGGGCGCGGCCCUUCCCCUCCUCCUCCUCCUCCUCCUCCUCUUCCUCCUCCUCUCGGCCCCCCGCGGCGGGACGGGGCCGCGCAGGUGGCAGCGCCCCGCGGGCGGCUCCGCGGAACGCCCCGCGGCGGGAGGGGGGAACGCAGCGUCGGCAUCUGCCGCCAUCGGGCCGUGCCCGGGCAAAGAACCGCGGACGCGGGGAUGGGGAGCCCGUGGGCAGCUCCGGUAGCGCAACGCGGGCCACGCACCCCUCACACCUUCUGUUCCCAGUGGAGUGCUGGCACGAGGAACGCUGGCUGACUACGCUGGCUGAAAGCAGGGCCGAGAGAGCUGCUGAGAGCCGCCGAGCGGUCGCGUGUUUCUUGUUCCUAAGGGUUCUGCUGCCUUUAGAAGCACCCGUGGGCUCCUCUCCUCAGUCUGCGGCGAGGAGCUGCCCACAGGGAGACACUGAAACCCAGCACUCGCCGUCUAGGAAUGAGGGCUGGGGGCAGCUCGUUGCUGCGCCAGGGAGAGGUCAGGAUCCCUCCUCUCGAUGGGUUCAGCGUCCCUUUGUGGGAUUGUUUUAUGAGAACGAAAUCGGGGUCAAGAAUUUUGGCUGUGCCUUCUCUUACAUGUCUCAUCGCCAAUGGGCGCUUCUCUGCUUCAGCAGACACACGGGAGGGAAGGAAGGAAGGAAGGAAGGAAGGAAGGAAGGAAGUGUUGGGACGCCUUUUGCACAGCGCUGCUGAUUUGUCUUGAAGAAGAGGCUGCUCUGGACAGCCUGGAGAGCAGCCGGGCUGCUUCUGCUGUGCGCAGCAGGGACCGAGGCGGGGCAGCCACCUCCCGCUGACAGCUGCCUGCCGUGCGCAUUUGCCGUGCGCUCAGAUGGAACAGAAACAAGGCAUAAAGAACAGAGCUUCCCAAGGAGGAAAAAAAUAUAACGCCCAAAUCCCAAAGCGAGCUGGUAAGUUUCUGCAUGCUCUGCAAAGCCACUCGGCUACAAAAUGAGCCCCGUUUUGUAGCCAAGGAGUUGCACGUAGGCAGAACAGCAGCCUUCCAAAGGGCUCCGUGUGCCCACUGGGCUUCCAGAAGUGCCAGUAUCCGGCUGCUGUGGCCGUGUGGGGAGGUCAGAGCCGGCGUCAGGGUGAUGCUGGGCCGGAGGCUGAACUCCCUGUUCCUUUCUGAGUGCUUCACCCAAAGCGCAUGGGGAUCAGGGCUGCAAGCAGAGCUAGAGCCCAUCGUGCCCCCAUCAAACCAUCCCGUUUGGGUCACGUUAUUGUAGGCAGUGGAGGCACUCCAUUCCAUAUCCUAUUCAAUUCAGUGAGACUGUGCAGAACAGCACAUGCAUUGUUCCACUGCCAUUAACACCGCUGGAGAUAAAGGAUGAGAGAUUCACAGUGGUGCAUACAAUGCAUUCGCCACACAAAAUCACAGUGAAAGGCCAACACUUGGGCCUUUAUCCCAUUCUGGAAAGCCAUUUGGGAGCCCCGCAUGGCUGCGGCAGCACGGUGAGCUCCCGCUGCCACCACCACCGGUGCCAUUCUGUCACACCAAGGCACCACAGCAGCUCCAAGGUUGAAGUGUCCAACUUCACAGUGCACGGCUUCACAAGCACGCAACUGCACAGUGGGACUACUCCCAGUCACUGCUCUACUCCAUUCGCUGGGGUGUUCCUCUGCAGCCAUUGUGAUGUUAAUGAGAGAGCUGUAAUGAUGCCAUUCACAUAUAACAAGCCCGAUGGGAUGGUAGUGAAAAGGGCUUUUUAUGCACAUCCAGAAUGCUUCUAGGAAAAAAAAAAAACAAAACCAAAAAAACCCAACAAAUAUGAAAUGCCUGUUAGGGUGAUACUGCGGGUCUGAUGGGAUCAAGGAUGGGGAAUGGACGUGGGAUGACUGCUCCUGUCCUGAGGAGAGAGGAGAGGCUCUGACUGCAGCAGUGGAUGGGAGGAGGAUGUUGGGGGUGCGUGGCCCAGCUGGUCAGCGUGCCUUGGUGUGCCAGAAGUUCAAGGAGGAAGUCACAGGACUGGGAGAUUAAGGGGCCUGGAUUAAAAUGCUCGUUGUCCAUGUGGGUACACGUGGAGUCACAGCAGUGCUGUGAAUGAAGCUGUGGGGUCAGGGACUCACAGUGUAUCAGGGUGGCCUAACCACAGCGAGCAGAAGCAGAGAGCCAGAGGUGAUCCCUGCAUCAGGGCUCUGACUGCAAGGACCAGCACUGUGGUGGGUGGGAAAGCACCUGGAACAUCCAGCUUAUGGGUCAUGCUGGAUUUGAGCUGGCGGAACAGCAUCUGGGCACCAGCAGGGGUAGUGCCACUCCUCAGCCCCCCGAGGUACAGAUGAGCUACGGACCGGUGCCAGCCCCAGCAUUCUUCCCUGCGCUUCUUGGCCCUCACCCCAGGGCAGCUCAAGGAAUCCACUGGGUUUUAUUUUUUUCUUCAGGGGCAGGACUUACUGCUCAGUUGAAAGGGAAUUCAGUUGACAUCAGGAACAGUGCCAAGAUACGGCCUUCCCAUGAAAGUGUUUUGAAAGCGUCUUCAAUUUCUUCCAUCCCGAUUUCAAUGAUGCGAGCCCAGAUGCUCUGGUGUCUCUUUCUCAAGACGGAAUUCCAAGCAAAUAGGAACAUUCCUAACUCCCACAUGUUUUUUUCUUUUAAUUCUUAUAGGUUGAAUUCUAGGCAGCCUGAUGUAGCCGUGGUGUUCCUGUUCAUUGCAGGGGAGUUGGACUAGAUGGCCUUCAGAGGUCCCUUCCAACUCUAUGGAUUCUACGAUUCUUCCCAUACGAAUGUUUCGGAGUCUCUUGGCCCCAGUUUGUCGAGGUUCCCCAGUUUUCUUAGCAAGCACAUUUUCAGAGAAAACCUGAAAACAAAUCUUUUGACUUCUUAACAGUUGUGUUUCCUUUGUUUCUGGUUUCCAUAGGUGUACUGAUAGAAAGAGCUUUCCUUUUUUAUGAGGGCUGCUCCAAAAGUAAUGCCUUCUAUCUUAUAAUGUUGGCCCACAGUGUCAGAGGCGGAUACUGGUGGUGUGGCAGUAGAGGUUGAACCUUCCCCCCAAAUAUUCCACUCGGUUUGCAGAGCACUUCAGCAUGCUGGUGGUGAGUGUUGCUCCUGCUGCUGUAGUGACAGCCCCUCUGCUGGGUUACCUUUGGGACAGGUAGGCUCUGCACAGGGGCUGGGUGCGGUUAUGAUGCCUGGAGGUGGAGAGAAGAGGAGCUGACAGCUUCAGGCCAGGCUGAGGCAGCAGAGCUCAAUGUUAUACAUGGGGGCUUCUCCAGCCCCAGAGCAGCUUUCCUUCUUUCAGAGAGGUGUCAAAUACGGCUGCCUCCUGGCAACACAAAUUGGGUGUCUAUGGAGUUUAAUUGUAUCGUGUUCUUUACUCUCUGUCUGCUGAAGAAGGUAAACAGCACAAACAAGAAGUGUUCGGAAACAAAGAGCAAGCUGUCUGCCGCUCAGCCCGCGCUGCUUUCCAUGAAGAAUGAGUGCUAUUAUUAUUCUUUUACAAGUUUCCUUCUAAGGGAAAUAAACACCAAAGGUAGGAUUCCAAGGAAAUGACUCACAAAUAUUGGCAGUGGGCUCUGAAAAUUGGAUCCAGUCUUUGCAGAAGCCCUUAGCAGAACGCUAACCCCUCUCAUUGCAAAAUAAACUCCCAUCCAUGCCACACAGCAGCUCUGAUGUGUGUGUGAAGGGUGGAUGGGGAUGCCAGGGCCCUUUUUUUUUUUUUUUUUUUUUUUUUUUUUUUACUUUUUCCCAAUCCCCUGACAUUGCAUGGGAUGUAGCGUCCAGUAUCUGUGCUCAGCCACCAAGCUGCCCUCCCAGGUGUGCAAAGGUAACCACACACUGCGCCUCACAUUGUAGUUCUUAAUCAGGGACCCCAGGAACCAGGAAAGCAGGCACUAAAGGAUCAGACAGCUGAGCAGAGGCAGCCUGGCUGCAAUACCAUCUGCAAACAGAACCGUCUACUUAGCAUAUUUAUUUCUCAGCUGUUUAAGAUUUUGAAUCAUAAAUGCAUUCUCCGCAUCCCUUGUAAUGCACACGUUCAAAGGCUUCAGCGCUCUCUCAUGUUACUUUUGGGGUUUUGUUUGUUUGUUUUGUUUUUGGCAAUGUAAAUCUGGGUAGACGAGCAACGAAAAUUGCGUCUCUCACACGGAAUUCCUUUGCAGCUCAGUUCUGCUUAGACAGCGCCUUCAGAUUAAAGAAGAUUAAAGAUCAUUACCUUUGCAAACUCCUAUUUAAUCACUCCAAACUGAGAUGAAGCAAACGGGGACUCUGGCAUGGAGUCAGACUUUUUCAGACAGUACAGCAGCACAGCGGGACCGUGCAGAUUCCGUACUUCUCUAUGCAUUGCCACAAUUACCAUCAUCUUUCCUGCUUUGUGAUACACUUGUAGAGAUAUUAUCCCUGCAGUCUGUGGGCCAUCCACGGAGUUCACUGAGUCCCUGACUUUGGCCUCCAUCUGUCAUAAGUGUCUUUCAGGACAAGCAGGAUGAUGCACGGUGUUGGAUUGUUGUACACUGAAUCCAAUUCUGGUUCUAUCAGAAUUCAUUCUUCUUUAAACAAGGUAAUUCUUACAGUAAUGCCAUUGAUAAGGUAUAUAACAAUCACAGAAAUGAUAACACAUUAUAUAGCAGCUAAUACCAUACAACUCAAAUUAUUGACUGUUUUCACGCAGUAUCAAAAUAUUGGCAAAUAGAGGCCUGGUCAAUCCAAAGGGAAACAAACCCACAGGGAUACAGCACUGAGAAGCAUCAGUCCAACCCGGGCACAGCCAGGAGCGGGCCAAGCUCCUAUUGCAGGCCUGGGAGAGGUCUGGACAAGGCCACUGGGGAUCACUCUGAGCUGGAAGGGUCAUUGGCUGUUGAUAACUGGCUCACACAGUUCAUUAUUAAAAGCUGGGGAAACACACCCCACAUGUAUUUAAUAAAUCAGUCUCCGCAGGGUACAUCAUCUUAAAAAAGAAAUCCCAACAGCUAAAAGUCUGGAUGCUGAGGAAUAUACCAUUCGAUUACAAAGUAAAUUAUAUGAGCCUCCUGUGUGUGGUUGUGCUCUCGAAAAGCAUCAGUGGCUUCUUACAGCUCUACGGCAAUGGGAGAGCAAUUUCCUCGCUUAGGGAAGCACAGUAAAUCAGAAGUAAAAGGUUCUUAAAAAAAUAACUAGGUGGCAAUUCAUAAUCCAAGGGGAGGAAAAUGGGUUAAAAAAAGGUAGAGCACAACCAACGACUGAGAACUAAAUUGGUAGGAGAAAUGGUUCUGGGAGCCAGAGUGGGUCGCAGUAUGUCAAACUGUAGGCUGCAUUUGUUGUCUGAAAUUAUUCCAAAAGCAGAAUUAUUCCAAGAGCGAAGGAUAAAUAUCCUUGAAUAAUCCAAACCAAAAAUGAAAUAUAAAUCAGGAGUAUGACUUUGCUGGAUUCCAGGUCUGUGUCAUCUUGAAAGAAUCAACCACUUGCCCAGGUUCUGCUCCCUGUACGCAGGGAAGGCACUGGGGAAUUUCAGGAGUCAGGCUGGGCACUAAAGCUAAUUUUCUUACUCAGUUUCUAUAGUGUAUAUGCUUUUAAAUAGUUGUGUUUUUUUUCUCCCCGGGUCUGAUCCAGGCAAUACAGAACAUCUGUUUGUUUCAAAGCAUACCUGCAUGAAGGAAGUAAUCAGUAAAGCCCAAGAUGAUGUAUCUAAAUGUGAGUGCAGAUUGCAGACCUGGGUUCUGUUCCCCGGGUACCAGGCAGCAGAAGCAGGUUUACCUGUGCCGCCUGGGCAGCUCUGCACACAGGUGUGAGCACUGCAGCCCCAUCCGUGUGCCAGGAGGUACACAUCCACCAUUUUGCAAAUUAUUCUGCAAAAGAUCUGUGAGAUUAAAAAAAAAAAAAAAAAAAAAAAGGAUGAAAAACCCAACAGAUUUGAAUUCAAUGUAGUUCAGUUCAGUUCAGUUUCAUUAAGGGCUUUUCACUUGCUCAGCAGCUGUUUCUUGGCCUUCACAUGAGGGUUAAUACGUGAGGCAGCUACUCCUCCUACAGGUCAGCCACAUUGAGGUCAUGGUUGUGCAGAAAACGCUCCUGGUGUUUUGGGGGUGUGUUUUUCAGUGCCCAGCCAGGUUAUAGGCAGCCUGGUGUAUUCCUAGAGAGAAUCGAGCAUUUGCUGCUUCCCCAUUGCAGAAGAGAUGAAACCAUGAUCACAAUUGUUUGCAUUCAGUAACAAUCCCAUAAAACAUUUUAUAAGAGAUGGCUCUUUAACCUCAAGGCUUUGGCCGAAUUCCAGCUCAGAAACUAUCUUCCUACAAGUUCUCCCAUUAAACUAGAAGCGAUGUAUUUGUCUCCUCCUUUGAACUGCUCUCAGCAGUGGCCUGAGCUGCUCAGAGCUCUGUAGGCUUCAGCAUCACACCGGCUCCGCUCAGGGAUGGCCUAAGGCCAUCCAUGCACCCACUGGGCACAGGGCUACCUACCCAGGUAGUGCUUGUGAAGUGCUUCAAUACACAAUUACGAAAGGAACCAUUCGAGUGAAAAACAUAACUCCACCUUGUGUCCGGAGAAGAAACCAGGUCGGGUUAUGCACAGUGACCUGCCGAGAAAUCCAUUGACAAAGAGCAUCACCGGGGACAAGCAAAGGCUGAAGGUCUGAGUACGUACCACUGCUCUGUGUUCACAGUUUCAAGAUCCACACUCACAUGAAGACAACCUUUCCAUCUUCAGUGCAAGGCAGAAACAUUUGUCUCACGAUGGUUAUAUGGACUGUGAAUUUGUUGAAUCGUUUUACAGCUUUUGUUCUGAGUGCAGCAUUUUCCAGGGAUGUUUAAUUUGGAUUGCCCAGAAUGACAAUGAACAGUUUAAGUGUAUUCUGGUCUUCAGGCUCUCCAUCUAAUAGAUGUUAUGCGGCACGUCUACCUUUUGAGAAAGCUUUCAGCGAGACGUUAAGCAUAAUUAGAGAGGGUGGGAUGGGCGCUAAGGGAAGAACAAUUCCUUGAAAUAUUUCUGGCAGUGAAGCACUUGCCUAAGGGUGGAUCAAUCCGCUCCAUAGAAAAGCCAGAAAGGAAGCGGAGGAGCAGAUCAGCGUGCAAGACGUGUGAUGGGUGGGUUACCAGCACAUUUGCCCAGAAGUGCCUGCUUCAGACUUACCUUCAGCAAUCUCCACCUCUCAGCUUGCUGGUGCUGCCAUGUGGGUCAGACAUCAACACUCCCCUCUCACAGGGCUCUCCUGGGGCCUGGGCACAGGGAGCAGCCCCCCCUGCACAGAGCCCUCAGAGCAACCUGAACCUCCAAACACGUCCUGCUGUAGGACCACUAUUCUGGGGGCAGAAGGGGGAAAACAAUAGGGAUUUUUUUUUUGAGAUUUGGAAGAACCUCCAACUCAACACUGACAGUACAUAGUUUUAAAUGAUGGCAUCCCCAUGUAUUUUCUAAUUGAUUUUUCUGAAAGGAUGAGUUAUACCUCAACUAAGCAGCAAUUUCAAGACAACACUCUGUGAUGUUCCAAACUUAUUUGGAAUCAGUUCUGUCUGCCGCCAUGGUUUUCACUCUCAACAAGUUUGGCAAGAUUUUUUUGAAAUAAGAUGAGAAAAAAGGUUGGAUACGUUCCUUUCAGGCAAUAGCCAACAAUGUAAAAUGCCUCCAUAUCCCUAAGUUUUUUCAGGUGGUGGUUUCAGAGCCAUAUUUAGCCAAGUGCUGACCCUUCCCUGCGUUCUCACUGCCCUCCCUGGGCUGGCACCAGCACUCCUCCGUGCUCAAUCCAGUCACACAGGUAGACUGACCCCACGGAAAACUGCACUUUAAGAUCUUGAUAGGCUUAUCCCGAUCCUUCAGCGGCUCUUGCUGGUGGUGAGAAUCCCAAAGAGACCACACAACCAAGGUAUUCAGCAUUAUCUUUGGUAUCUUCAAGCAGAAAAGAAUUCUUUUGCAUAUAAUACCACAUGCUACAAUUUCUUUAGAACGCUGUAGAGACACUGCUCCGUAGUGUCUUUUAGCAGAAGCUGCACAUCCGCCCUACAGAUUAAUUUCAUUCUGUAGCAGGUCAUUCAGUGCCUGGAUUUAUCAGUGACAUGGAAGAAAACCAGAAUUUUGGUAAUGAAAAUAAGGGACAAGAAGCAUUUUGGCCCAAGAAGGGCCAAAAUAAGGGUCUCAGCUAAGGCUACAAAACCAGUCUGUAUCAAAUGAGAAAUUAAAUGCAAUUCCCACUUUCUUGCCACGUGCUUAGACCAACACACAGCAGCUCACCCUCAUGCUGUUUUAUUUAAAAAGGUGUGUUCAAGAGGCUGGAAAGAGCCUGAUUGCUAUUUCCCAACAAGUGUUGCUACUUUACAACAUAAAACCAGUUUUGUCGAUGGCAAUAGUCUGUGUCUGCUAGCAUGCCUUCUGUGUAGUUCAGUAGAGAAACCAUGUGCUUGGAAAUAAGGAAACAUAUAGAACUACCUCAUCCCGAUUGUCAGCACGGCUGUACACAGAGCAGAUGGCAAAGGCUGAAUGGUUAGUGCUGUUCCCUAGCCUGUUGGCCUGGCACGUAUGCUCCUAAGUGUUUUAGAGUCUCAGAAAGCUGCAACGAGCUGAUGUGAUGAUUUGACCCUGGGGCUUAGAUCUGGGUACAUUUUCAUGACCUCAACCUGUCUGACUGCUUUAGAGCUCUGUUGAACAGUUGAUUUUUUUUCUUUUAAUAAAUACAAGUGGUCCCCAUGCUCUGUAUCUCCUGUUUUCCUAAGAAUACCAGAUGUUUUCUGGUAAGGCAUUAAUUAGCAAAGGCUUGUGACCAACAUUUUAGUCUACUGGUACUUUAAGCCUCAGCCCAAGCAGGUGCAAAUGCUGUGACAUGAUGGAAAAUGUGUUCCUAGCUCCAAUAAUCAAACGGGAUACAAACCUCAUCUCCUUUGGCAGAUUGGUGACUGUUCCCUUUCUUAACUAUUAUACUGCUGCAACAGAACUGAUACAACAGGAUAUACUAUCUCAAGUUUUAAUUACUGAUUAUAGCAUUUCAUAUUAUUAUUUAUUGAGAUGAAUUGGCCCAGUGUUCUGGAUUCCUGCUUACAAUUAAUGUUUAAUCGUAAAGAGUGGCUACAGAGAUUGAACCAUCUUCAUUACAGCUCUGGACUUCCUCAAACAUGAAUGAAAGAUUGAGCUUCCUUAUUUUGAACUAGCAUAAUUAAAGGCAGAAUGUCUUUUUUUUUUCCUUUGCAUAAUGCAAUAAAAUAAUAUGAAAUGCAAUGGGGGGGGUUUAUUAUGCCUCUAAAAUAUACAUAUUAGUUCAACGUGAUUUUACACCAUUUGACAAGAGGAUUUUCAUUAUUAAUAAGAUGAAAUGUAAGGCUUCUAAUUAAGUGGAAAACAAACCGCUGUAAACUACACUCAGAACACACAAACCUAUUAGGUUUUGAAUUUAAUAAUAAAUCAUUUAUCUAAACCCCCAGUGAUUUGUUGCAUGAUCGUACUUGAUGAUAAUUUAUUUCAUUUGUACAUUUUUAGGCUUCCUUGCUUCCUUUUAUCCUUACUAUUCCCAACAGCAAAUCUGAGCUUUUUUUGUUUUUGUUUUUGUUUUUUUACGACCCCUAUGCUAAAAUGCAGCUACUCAAAAUGAUAAGCAGGUAACAAAACGCCUUACUAUUGCUCUCAUUGAUUUUAGAAAAGUAGGGUAAUUUACAAGUAAAACACGCAUCUAAUGUGAAUUGAACACUAAAUUAGAAUUGCACUGCUGGACUCUAAAAACAACAACACCAGAGAGAAAAUGCAGGUUACAGAUUUCAGCAGGAAAAUGAGAGACGGCCCUUACCCAGAGGAGCUUUGGGAAACAAGUAACUAGUGACUUCAAAGAGAUUCUAAAAUAAUACCUGAUGUGGAAUUUGCUGUAUGAAGACAACUAUUCAGAGAGAGCCUUUGACAAGUGAAGGUACAUCUGCAUAGAAAUGAUGCAGUUCGGCUCUGAAACAUGUGCUCCUGCACAACAAGCUAUUUAGGAACCAUGAGCAUUAACCUAAUUCUGUUCAGCUACCUGUGUGGAACACGAGUGACCGAAAGGUGCCACCCAUCGAGCUCAAGUUGGAUUCAGUACAUAGUGUGUAUUAACUCUUUCAGGCUGUGAUUUUUGUAUAGAACAUCGCUGUUCAGAAAUGAACAACUAUUACCAUAUUGACUACAUAUUUCUUUCAUUUCUUCCAUGUUUUCACAGCUUCAUAAAUCCUCAGUUUUUAAAGAAAUAUCUGAUAGCUCACAUGAAUCAUGCUUUAGUAGGUCUUGUACCAUUUUUUUCCCAUAUUGACGAGAUUAUCAAAUACCUAUAACAUUGACUAAAGAAUAUAGACACACAUUAAGUCCUCCUAAAGUUUAACUAGCAAAUAUGUACCAGUCGCCAUAUGGAAUGGCAAGUAUAUUGCCCUUUGAAAAUGCCAGCCUUAAAACUAGCAAGUGCCACAUUAUCCAGUUUGUAGAAGUCCUAGGAUGUGCACAGAUGACAGGGGUGGGUCCAGAUGAUUCACUGGGCUAUGCUCCUUUCACGUGCAGAAAUGGGAAGAAACAAUAGAAACUCUUUACCCCAAGUCUUCCUAGUUUUAGGAUAGGGAUGUCUGCUAAUACAUAGAAAUAUCUAUCUAUCUAUACGUAUCCAGGAACACUGUAAAGCAGAAUUGCCA